GAGUACUCAAUGAUUCUAGUUGAAAGAAAGAAAAAAGGAAGGAAGAAAGGAGGAAGAGGCAGGCACAAGACAAAAUGAAUCUCUCCGCUGUGCACAUGGAGCCUUAGCUCUGAUUCCAGUUGAGCAAAAUUAUGAAGAAGAUGAUUCCCCAUAUGGAUGACAGAUAAACACCCUGUGGCGAGUCACUCACUCCCGAAAGGCCCUCUGAAGGAUCGCGCAUGUCCUGACUGCACAGCCUGCUCCUGACAAUGCUCUCAAAGCCACGGUUGUAAUAGAAAUUGGAAAAUCAAAGCAGAUCCAUGUGGCCUCAGCAUAACGAAAACAAGGAAUAAAUGGAUGUUACUACUACUAGUACUGCUUCUGCUGCCAAGUUUUUGAGCACAUAACCAGGAUGACAACCACAGUUCCACAAAGCUCUGAUAAAACAUCAAAAAGAAACUCACCACCAAGGAAACCAGAGAAUCCUUUCUUGUCUUGAGUGAAUGGCAAUGAUCUUGGUGGCCAAGAUAAUAAAUACACGUUUAUUAUAUUGAAAAACUAUUCUAAAAUAUAUGUUCUCUAUAUAAAGUAAUCUCCACAUGAUUCUGAGAAAAAGUUUAAUCUAUCUUUCUACUACAAAGUUCUUAAUAAUGCUUUGACAAGGAGGUACCAUAUCCCAAGAUGUGAUACACUUUGCUCAGUUUUUAAAUUAAACAUUCUAGAGU
rnacentral:lncRNA from 10 species